CCUUAAGAAGGAGAGGAACUGAAGAACUCACAUCACAGGAAGACUCAGUGGAGGUUUUAGAAGAGGCCUUAACAAGUUGUGUGAUAAACUGAGGUGCUCAGAAGGGCCACCCGAAUUUAAUCGGGGAUGGCACCAGUUUGGAUCCUGCUGCUUCCGUUUUGAAGAGACUCUGAGGUCAUGGACUGAGGCAGAGCGUCACUGUCAGUCUCUUGGUGGACACCUGGCCUCAGUACACAGCUGGAAGGAGUCUAGGUUCCUGGAGACGUUGUCUGUAGGUUCACCUUUGACCUGGAUUGGAGGAAAUGAUGGUGGUCGGCCAGAGUUGACAAAGGACAGGAGCUGGACCUGGACUGAUGGAUCUGGAUUUAAUUACCAUGAAUGGGCACAAGGGGAACCCAACAACUAUAAUGGUGUCAGAGAGCCGUGUAUUCAGAUGAACUUUGGAGAAAAACAUCGCUGGAAUGACGACGUCUGUGAGAAGCGCUUUGCAUCAGUCUGCUCCAGAAGCCAUUAAAUGAACGUGUUGCUGUGACAUCAUCCUGUUGAAUGAUGUGGUUGUCAAUAAAACAGCUGAACACA